UUACGGUAUUUAGGAGAUUGAGGGACUUGCCGGAGUGUGAAGGCUUUCGGGGCGUUUGCUCUGUUGUUAGGGAAGAACAAGUGCUAGUUGAAUAAGCUGGCACCUUGACGGUACCUAACCAGAAAGCCACGGCUAACUACGUGCCAGCCGCCGCGGUAAUACGUAGGUGGCAAGCGUUAUCCGGAAUUAUUGGGCGUAAAGCGCGCGCAGGUGGUUUCUUAAGUCUGAUGUGAAAGCCCACGGCUCAACCGUGGAGGGUCAUUGGAAACUGGGAGACUUGAGUGCAGAAGAGGAAAGUGGAAUUCCAUGUGUAGCGGUGAAAUGCGUAGAGAUAUGGAGGAACACCAGUGGCAAAGGCAACUUUCUGGUCUGUAACUGACACUGAGGCGCGAAAGCGUGGGGAGCAAACAGGAUUAGAUACCCUGGUAGUCCACGCCGUAAACGAUGACUGCUAAGUGUUAGAGGGUUUCCGCCCUUUACUGCUGAAGUUAACGCAUUAAGCACUCCGCCUGGGGAGUACGGCCGCAAGGCUGAAACUCAAAGGAAUUGACGG
rnacentral:rRNA from 1 species